rnacentral:rRNA from 1 species
AGUAAAUAGAUACCCCGGUAGUCCACGCCGUAAACGAUGAAUACUAGGUGUAGGAGGUAUCGACUCCUUCUGUGCCGCAGUUAAACACAAUAAGUAUUCCGCCUGGGGAGUACGGUCGCAAGAUUAAAACUCAAAGGAAUUGACGGGGGCCCGGCACAAGCAGCGGAGCAUGUGGUUUAAAUUCGAAGCAACGCGAAGAACCUUACCUAGACUUGACAUCUUCUGCAUUAAUCGUAAUGGAUGAAAUCCCUUCGGGGACAGAAUGACAGGUGGUGCAUGGUUGUCGUCAGCUCGUGUCGUGAGAUGUUGGGUUAAGUCCCGCAACGAGCGCAACCCUAUUAUUAGUUGCUAACAUUAAGUUGAGCACUCUAGUGAGACUGCCCGGGUUAACCGGGGAGGAAGGUGGGGAUGACGUCAAAUCAUCAUGCCCCUUAUGUCUAGGGCUACACACGUGCUACAAUGGUGGGAACAAAGAGAUGCAAUACCGCGA